rnacentral:tRNA from 1 species
GGCACUUUGGUUCAAUGGUAGAAUUCUUGCCUUCCAUGCGGGAGGCCUGGGUUAGAUUCCUGGCCA